rnacentral:rRNA from 1 species
AGAGUUCGAUCAUGGCUCAGGAUGAACGCUAGCUACAGGCUUAACACAUGCAAGUCGAGGGGCAGCAUGGUCUUAGCUUGCUAAGGCCGAUGGCGACCGGCGCACGGGUGAGUAACACGUAUCCAACCUGCCGAUGACUCGGGGAUAGCCUUUCGAAAGAAAGAUUAAUACCCGAUGGUAUAUCUGAAAGGCAUCUUUCAGCUAUUAAAGAAUUUCGGUCAUUGAUGGGGAUGCGUUCCAUUAGGUUGUUGGCGGGGUAACGGCCCACCAAGCCAUCGAUGGAUAGGGGUUCUGAGAGGAAGGUCCCCCACAUUGGAACUGAGACACGGUCCAA